rnacentral:piRNA from 1 species
UGAUGUUGUUUUGAUAGUAAG